UGCUAGCAGCUCCUUGCGGUGAGUCCCAGGUUACCUGUAGUAGAACAACCACUCUGAUUAGUCCUGCGCCUACUGGCUGUCACCGCUGCCAAAUCAGUCAUGGUGGAAGCAGUAUGAAAUUGCUGUGAAAGGUUUGUUUGGUAAGCGCAUUUCAGUCACCUUAAGUCUUAAGCCAGGGGUGAUUAUAUUGACCAUAUUUUGCACUUUUUCAGUUACCUAUGAACACGCCCGGAAAAAGCUAAAUGACAGUCAGUUCCAUUCAGACCUGGCCAGUGAAACUGACAUGCCCCCAUUGAAGAGGCGUAGACGGCGACCAGCAGCCUGCAGCAACUCUGACAGUGAAGAGGAGGAGGAAGAAACUGCUACAAGCCAGCCAGGACUCCUUAAGUCAGACAGAGACCCUAGAAAAGCUCUGUGGCUGGAGUAAUUGCUGUUUACCGGUGCAACAGAAUGGUGGACAAUACACGCGUCCCUACUGAGUCAGUAAUUGCCACGUUUGCAGGUACGUCUUGCCCUACAGAGAUAAAAGUCUGACCUCUAAUAUUCAGAGUGGACCCGCUUGCCUCGCGCCCAUUACAAUGUCGGAAUUGUUGGCGCUAUGGUCACAGCAUGGGUGGUUGCAAAUCCAGCCUUCGUUGUUUCGUCUGCGGCGGGAGCCAUUCCGCUACUAAUUGCGCGGCCGAGUCGGACACUUGCUGCCUCUGCGGUGGAGCCCACAAAGCUGAUUGCUCAAACUGCCCUGCGAGAACUCAAGAAGUCCAAAUAAUGGAGGUUAUGGACAAAAGGCGCUGCUCACGCCAAGAGGCAACUGCGGCGGUAAAAGAAAGAGCCCAUGGUUAUGCCAGUGUGACAGCACGAACCCAAGCUGUCGUUGAUGGAAGCCUGUCAGAGGAAUAACCUCAAAUGAAGCAACAAGUGUGCCCACAUUUGGCCAGGGAGACAAAGGCACACCAGGGACCCAGUUGUCAGAGACAAACUCGCCACAAGGCAUGUCUGGUAAUCACUCUGUUGAUGCAGGUGAACAGAUAGAGCAAGAGUGGCCACAAAACACACCUCAUCAUUGUUGUGUAGAGAAGAACUUCCAGCGGCACGUACUACACCUGCUGAGCACGCUUCGCUUCAUGCUAGAACAACAAGCAGGCACCCUGAACAAGUUGUGCGAUAUGCUACCUACUUCUUCAGUCACCGAAUGCGGAGAUCUCUUAGGCCAUCCACUUAGCAGUCUUGGUGAACUACAAGAGUUUGAUGACAAGCUCGAUGCUGGAAAAUUUAAGAUCCUGGUUCAUGAGUUGACACAGCUCGGUGGGAAAGAUGCCUACUGGGCAACAAAAAGAAUCUUGUCAUACUGCAUAUCAUGGACGAGGUUGCGGCACAAUUUUUCUGGAUGGGUCGAAAAGGAAAACUGAGCUUCUCGGCCUUGAAGAUUGCUAAAGCCAUAGCAGGUGUGCUUAAUUCCUUUCGUGUUUUACACAGAAUUAGCCUUCCUCGGGAAAAACGAAAACAUGCUCAUUGUUCUGAUUUUUGCCACAUACAUAUAGGAAGCUUAGAACGACAGGAAGCUGAGCUAGUUGGUAAGGAUUCAUUAUGCAAAAAAGAAGUGAGGCGUGCAGACAGGACACAAGAGUAGAGAAGUGGACAACACGAAUGCCGACUAUCAACUGAAGGGAGCACUGAGGCGAAAAAAGAAGACACAGUAUACUCAUCUGCGCAUGCUUAGGAAUGGUAACACCACGUGUCAGUCAGG